rnacentral:rRNA from 1 species
UUCCCCCAGUAGCGGCGAGCGAACGGGGAGCAGCCCAGAGCCUGAAUCAGUGUGUGUGUUAGUGGAAGCGUCUGGAAAGGCGCGCGAUACAGGGUGACAGCCCCGUACACAAAAAUGCACAUGCUGUGAGCUCGAUGAGUAGGGCGGGACACGUGGUAUCCUGUCUGAAUAUGGGGGGACCAUCCUCCAAGGCUAAAUACUCCUGACUGACCGAUAGUGAACCAGUACCGUGAGGGAAAGGCGAAAAGAACCCCGGCGAGGGGAGUGAAAAAGAACCUGAAACCGUGUACGUACAAGCAGUGGGAGCACGCUUAGGCGUGUGACUGCGUACCUUUUGUAUAAUGGGUCAGCGACUUAUAUUCUGUAGCAAGGUUAACCGAAUAGGGGAGCCGAAGGGAAACCGAGUCUUAACUGGGCGUUAAGUUGCAGGGUAUAGACCCGAAACCCGGUGAUCUAGCCAUGGGCAGGUUGAAGGUUGGGUAACACUAACUGGAGGACCGAACCGACUAAUGUUGAAAAAUUAGCGGAUGACUUGUGGCUGGGGGUGAAAGGCCAAUCAAACCGGGAGAUAGCUGGUUCUCCCCGAAAGCUAUUUAGGUAGCGCCUCGUGAAUUCAUCUCCGGGGGUAGAGCACUGUUUCGGCAAGGGGGUCAUCCCGA